GACGAACGCUGGCGGCGUGCUUAACACAUGCAAGUCGAGCGGUAAGGCCCUUUCGGGGGUACGACGAGCGGCGAACGGGUGAGUAACACGUGGGUGACCUGCCCUCAGCUCUGGGAUAAGCCUGGGAAACCGGGUCUAAUACUGGAUAUGACUCCAUGACGCAUGUUGUGGGGUGGAAAGCCUUGUGCGGCUGAGGAUGGGCCCGCGGCCUAUCAGCUUGUUGGUGGGGU
rnacentral:rRNA from 1 species